ACAGAUAUCAAGAGUGAUGAAAAUUUACAUGUGGUGUAGGCUUUAGAAUUAGGCGUGGGAAAAUGGCUCUAUAGCGCCACCUACAAAUUUUCAACGAAGCAGCCCACAGACUGUGUUUGACGUACAAUUACGAAAUUUGGUACGCUUCUGUAGCAUGACAAGACCUACAAAAAAGUCUCUUGGAGCGAAGCCGUAAACCAAACAGGAAGUCAGCUAUUCUGAGUUAUUUUUGUGAUUUGGGCGCAGUUUUUGUCAUUUCCAGGCGUCAUACUUUAACUAACUCCUCCUACAGUUUUCGUCGGAUCGUCUUCAUAUUUGGUGAGUGUCAUCUUAAGGCCUUUGUGAUGCUAAAUUGCGAAGGAUUUGACUCUACGUAAAAAUUUGUGUCGGUUCUGGCCCGACAAAUUUAAUGUUUUCCAAUGAAACAGGAAGUUGCUGGAACUCAUGCAUACAGUGUCCGAUCUGUCCCAAAUUUCACAUGAUUGCUAAGAGUCCUGACCUGAACACAUCUACAUAACAAUUUUCAUUUAUAGCCAUAGCACCACCAGCUGGCAACCUGAAGGAACAUGUUUUAGCCCCACUUUCAAAUAUUGAAUGAAGCAGCCCUUGGACUGUGUUUAACUUACAUGUACGAAUUUCGGUAUGCUCAUGUAUUAUUACAAGCCCUACAAAAAAGUCUCUUGGAGCAACGCCCUACACCAAACAGGAAGUCAGCUAUUUUGAAUUAUUUCUCAGAUUUUGGCUCAGUUUUUCUCAUUUCCAGCAGUCAUACUUUAACUAACUCCUCCUACAGUUUUCGUUGGAUCAUCAUCAUAUUUGGCGAGUCUCAUCUUAAGGCCUUCGUGAUGCUAAAUUGCAAAGGAUUUGAUUCUAUAUUAAAAUUUGUGUCUGUUUCGGCCAGCCAAAGUUUGAUGUUUCGCUAUGAAACGGGUUGCUGGAACUCAGGCAUACAGUGUCCGAUCUGUCCCAAACUUCACAUGAUUGCUAAGAGUCCUGACCUGAACACAUCUACAUGUCAAUAGUCACUUAUGGUUAUAGCGCCACCAGCUGGCAACAGGAAGUGACAUGUUUACAAUGAUUAUGCAAUGUCUGAUCUGUCCCAAACUUCACAUGAUUAAUAAGAGUCCUGGACUGAACACAUCUACAUGUCAAUAGUCACUUAUGGUUAUAGCGCCACCAGCUGGCAACAGGAAGUGACAUGUUUACAAUGAUUAUGCAAUGUCUGAUCUGUCCCAAACUUCACAUGAUUAAUAAGAGUCCUGGACUGAACACAUCUACAUGUCAAUAGUCACUUAUGGUUAUAGCGCCACCAGCUGGCAACAGGAAGUGACAUGUUUACACUGAUUAUGCACUGUCCGAUCUUUCCCUAACUUCACAUGAUUAAUAAGAGUCCUGGACUGAACACAUCUACAUGUCAAUAGUCACUUAUGGUUAUAGCGCCACCAGCUGGCAACAGGAAGUGACAUGUUUACAAUGAUUAUGCAAUGUCUGAUCUGUCCCAAACUUCACAUGAUUAAUAAGAGUCCUGGACUGAACACAUCUACAUGUCAAUAGUCACUUAUGGUUAUAGCGCCACCAGCUGGCAACAGGAAGUGACAUGUUUACAAUGAUUAUGCAAUGUCUGAUCUGUCCCAAACUUCACAUGAUUAAUAAGAGUCCUGGACUGAACACAUCUACAUUUCAAUAGUCACUUAUGUUUAUAGCGCCACCAGCUGGCAACAGGAAGUGACAUGUUUACACUGAUUAUGCAAUGUCUGAUUUUUCCUAACUUCACAUGAUUAAUAUAGUCCUGGACUGAACACAUCUACAUGUCAAUAGUCACCAGUGUUGGGCAAGUUACUGAAAAUUAGUAAUUAGUUACAGUUACUAGUUACUUCUUUUAAAAGUAACUGAAUUACUGUACCAGUUACUGUAUAUCAAAAGUAAUUAGUUACUUAGAAAAGUAACUUUUAAGUUACUUUUAUGUCUGCUUUUUAAAUGUAAGUGGGUCAAAGACGAGACGUCACCAUUUUGGUGUCCGCAUCAAAUAUAAUUUACAAAAGUGAUUUUACAUACAAAAAACACCUAUAAAAUGAAAGUAAAAUGUCUACUUUUAUGUUUCAUAUAACUUUUGUGAAAAUACAAUGACCAAAUAUGAGUUUAAUAAUGCUCCAAAGUGUAAAAUCGUCAUUCAGCGUAAUGGUCCGGACUAGGAUUUUACUAAUAGAUUUUUAAAUAAACGUAUAAAAUACCAUGUUAAAAAAAAAAAUUGCUUCCUUGGCAUGUUCACAUAAGUGUUGGCUGUUUUAUAUUAAUAGGACUAUGUGUUAUUUUUUUCGUUAAAUAUUGAAACAACUAGGGGACUUUUGUCCCGAAUAUGCAGUUUGUCAGAGGUCAUUCAGUGUAACGGGAUCAGGAAGCCAUUUUGAAAUUAAAUACACAAACAAUAGUCAUCAAGCAGUCUGUGACAUCAUCAAAGGGGCCCCUGAAGACCAUGUGGUGAUUCAGCAAGAUGCCCACAAACAAAAAGUUUCUAGGCACUGGCAGAAAGUUAAUGCAGACCCAGUAGCUAGGGCAAUGCAUUUAGGAAGGAGACGAGAAAGUAACCAGAGAAGAAAGCAAGCUGCCUUGGCUGCAAAUCCAGAUCACCCGUCAAUCAGGAAUUUAUCAGAUGCUGCAGCUGAGAAGAGGCAAAAGCAAUGGCGGGAAAAUCAAAGUAAACACAGGGCAGAAGCUAAACGUAUAAGGGCAGUUCUGGAUCUUAUUAUACAGUAUUACCACCUGUUCAGUUAAUUUUUACGAAUAUGAUAUGUAUUGUGGAAUAAAAUGAUUAUUAAUUUCA